UGGUCGUUCUUCACGUUUUUAAAACGUACUUAUAUUUUGCUGAUCUUAGUUUUCAUGAAGAAAGAAAGGAGUGAAAUAUACAAAUUGAACAAUAUCGAUUUAAUUAACUGCAAAUUUAAUUAUAAUCAAUGCAUACGUGUCACAUUUCUAAAAAUGAAAAUAGGUAGAAUAUUUAAUUAGAAAAAUAAAAUAUCAACUGGAAAGGAUAGAUUUCAUAAAAUGAAUAGUGGGUUAGUGAAAUGCAAGAGUAAAGAGGAGGAAGGAGAUAUCACGGGAAUUCAGCACACACGCGCGAGCAAACGUAGCAUCGGAUACGUCACAGCGGUAUUAUAAGUGGAAUGAUAAAAUGAGAUCAUCGUUACCGCUUCUCCGCGCACUCUGACGCAUACGCGUACACUGCGGACGCGACCUACACGACACAACGACAAUCAAACAUAGUGCACUGUGAAAAAAACACAAGGCACGUAUAUAUACGUGGGUAUAUCUACAUACAAUCUAUCUAUAGAUCUACAUAUCUACAUAUAUAUACAUAUAUAUUUACUGAUAGUGUUUACCGCCGGUUGGCCGAAAAACGAACGUGCACCGCGACACGAUUACAGCGUACGCUGCACGUUGCAUCACAAGAGCGUACACCGGUGAAGGUCACGCGCUCCAAAACUCACGACUACGGAGUACGAAAACAUCUAGGCUUGAUAUAGCUCGUCAGAGUCCGGUUCGAUAUCGGAAAGCUUAUCUGUACCUACCUAUUCAUAAUUUGAUUAAUAUAUUCUGUACCGCGUAAGUUAUCGACGACUGAUGACCCACGCUGAAACUUCCAUUUCAUCUCAAAUAUGAUAUUUUAACUAUAGCAAUUACAAAACGCAAUUUACACAUGGCUUGGAUGGCAAAUCACGUAAAAUUAACAGAUAUGGAAUGUGUUAAAACUAGUUAGAAGACAUUCGAAAGAGAUAAACAUGGACUGAAGAAAAAAUUUUGUGGCCGGGGCUUCGAUUCCAUCGGAUAAUCGCGAUAUUGAUAAAAAAAGUGCCGCGAACGAAAAAACAGAGAUGAAGAUAGGCGUAAUAAUAAAGGUCGAGUUCCGAGAUCCAACGACGGUAAGUACACGCGCGUUCGUUGCCAUGUGCCAAUGACAUGGUACACACGCACGAGACACACAGGCGCAACCACGAUGAAACUCGCCGGCGCUCGGUGCUCGCGAAGAAGAAAGGAAAAGAACACAGAUGCGUAGAUGUACGCGUAGUCUAGGCAGCAAAGCAGUACUCACCUCUUUCUCUUCGUUCAAUAUACUCGGCGGCCUGUAGUAGGGCAGCAAUGCUCAUAUUUCCCCGAUUUGGCGUAAUUUUGGCGACUUCGGUUCACUACCUCUUUCCCUGUAAUCCCGGCACACACACCGAUGAUCACCGCCGCGCGCGCGACACACAACGCAAUAACCGUUUAGAGACGCACACGACGAGCACCAGCCCCGUAUACACCGCGCGGCCGAUCUGUUGUUGUUGUUGAUGUUGAUGUUGGCUGGCGCUGGUGUUGUCGCUUCUCGAACUUUUCUCUCCGCCCGCCUGUUCAACCGCCGCUCCUUCUCCUCCCCCUCUUCCACGACCGCCACCUCUUCCUCCUUUUCUCGUCCGUCCGCGCGCCUCGCUGGCUGCGUUCGCUUAGGUGCACGUAACACACAAGCGCGCGCGCGUGACUACCGAGACUAGCCCGAUUUCAAACGCGCACUAGAUUCGCGGACGGCAAAUCGAUGGCCAGGCCUUUCCAACCGCGAUACGCAUCAAGAACUGUCUUUUUUUCCUCUCUCUACCACGGUAUAUAUUCCGUCGACUAUUUCGCGAUAUACGUUUCCCUUUGUAGCCUGUUUGCACCAACCGUUCGACGACUUUCAGUCUAUCUGGUCCGUGUCUGUCUAUCUUACUUCCAAUUCCACUUGCCUUUUUAUUUAAAAUGCUAGUUUCCUUUUCCCUUGUUCUAUACGUUUCUUUUCUCCCCCUUUUCUACUCAGUGGCGUUUCACUUUAACUCCGUACAGCUUGUAUAAUAUUCUCCUUUUCCUAUCUUUAUGUUUUCUGCCUGACUUCGUCGGUUCUCUUCUUCUUUCUUCACCUUCGUUUCACAACAUUCACUACGAUCACACCAAAUCACGUGAAAAUGACAAAAAAGAAAA